CUUUUUGCGUAUUGAGAAACCUUAUGUUUGUACAAGCCUGCAGCUAACUCUUCAUAGGUGGGCCUGCUAGAAAGGAAUGUGUGAGAUGUUAGCCUUCCUCUCAUAUUUUUUUUUUUUUUACAGCAACUAUGUAUCUGUCCAGCUACAUGACAAUGAUACAGAGACACCCAGGCGUGACCUCAGAUUUGCCUCUGCAGGAGUAACCUCUAAUCUCUGUGGCCAACAGGUCGACAUCAUUGAACUGCAAAUCACGAUGAUAAAGCAGAGCAACUAUGUGCACAGAGAGAACGUGCGAUGGAGGGGUUUUGUGUGAGGAGUGACUCACUCUGUGGGAGGGUUGAGGUCCUCUGGUCGGGUUUCAAAGAACUUAAGGACCUCCUCGCUUUCCGAAAUGGAAGAAGGAAGUUUCAUCAAAGCCUACGAACACACCUACACCAGGAAACCACAGACGUGACUAAUGAUUACGCAGACAGGAGGGAUCCUCUGUUGUAGUCUCACCGAGCAG